CCGAUGAAAUUAGCGGCGCUUCUAGAUUCAUGGACAAGGCAAGGAAGAAGAAAGGGCAGGACAAGCGGGAUGUGACGCAAAACAGGAAAUCUAGAGGCCGAGAGGAAGACGAUGGUGCCGCUGGCGCGCAGAGAAGCUCCGCGCCUGAGAUCGCGAAAUCGAGGCUAUCCAGUUGCUUUUCCAGGUCUGGGGGUUCGUCUAAGCCCGACGCUGCCAGUCGCGGGAUUGAAAUUUCGGUGAAUAGCAGCAGUGGCAAUUGCGCUGCUGCUCCUCCUGGAGAAGAAGAUCUGCCACCUGGUUUUAGAGAGACGACUGCCAGUCCGGUUGGUGUCAAUCCUGCUCAAAGUCUCUCCGGGGGUUUUACGAGGAGAUUGACAGAAGAAGAAAAGGAGAAGUUUAGGAAGGAAAAUAGGUGCUACACUUGUGGUGAAGAGGGACAUACGUACUUUCGCUGCCCCAAAGGAGAGAAACGUUUGCAUGCUAUCCAGGCAGAGAAGAACGCAAGAUCCAACUACAAACUCUGGCGUGAUCCUUAUUGGUCCUAUAAAUCUCAAAGUGGAGAAAUGCAGGGUCCUUUCUCGCUGCUGACGCUUGCUAGCAAGCUUCACGAUGGUUACGUAAAUGGAUGGUGCGAGGUCAUGCAUGUGCAUGUCCAAAUCGCAUGCUUUGCUCUCGGCAAUCUUUUGGAACUAGCCGACCAGCAAGCUCUCGGAGAUUUGAUUCAAGCCAAGGUAGCCAUGCAGGAUUCGACACCGGACGAUAAUCCAUCGUUGAGCCACGUCCAAACCAAUCUGUAUUUGGAUGUCGUCGAUGAAAUUGUCGAUGAUCUCGUGGACGCGUGCUUGAGUUCCAGGCGGAAGCGGGGAAGAUCUUUACAAAACGACAGCUAUCCAGCCACUGGAUCUGUCAAGGCUGAGGCCAGUGCUCCUGUGGCAUCACAUCCGGAACCAACAGCUCAUAAACCAGAUUGUGACAAGGAGCCAGUAUUUGAGCAAGCACAAGAGGAAGUUCGGCAAACAACAAGAGCCGAGAUCCUAACGCUGGAGAGUAUACAAAAAAGGCUUCAUACAACUGUUGUCGAGGCAGCUAAACGAACGAUACUAGAUGCUGCCGUCGGACAGUAUUUAAAUGGGUGGAUCUUGCAGCAGGAGAGUCGGAAAAAAUCCCAGAUUGAGCAAGAAGCUCUUUGUCAGAAAUUGGAUGAUGCACCUACUGAGUGCGAUGUUGAUAAAAUGGCCUGUGAUCAGCCCAUACUUCCACGAAAGUCGCAUAAGCAAGAAGACGGGAAGCGACGAAAUAAAGCGACGAAGCGUGCACCAAGUACGGGCAUCGAAGAAAAUGGAGCAACCGUAAGAGAAGAAGCUGCAGAUGAACGUGUUCCACGAAAACGCCUCAAGAAGCGGAAGGAGCUGGAACAAACUCCAUCUGUGGAGAACAAGGAACAGGGAAAACUCCAAAAUAGCGAAAUGCAAGAUGCUGUCGCCGCCGACUAUCAGUCUCAGUCCUCGCUUCUUGAGACACAUCCAGCGGCCGACAUGUCAAAUAAGGAAGAGGGGUCUCCAGAAGUGAACGUGGUGAAAGCUGGAAAGCAAGUGGUGAAGAAAAAACGUAAGUCACACAAGGAUAACGACGGGGGACGACGAAAGAAAUCGAAGAAGCGUGUGGCGUCGGGCGUGGUGGCGGGGGAAGAUAGUGGAGCGGCUUUACGUGACGAAGUAGCCCUGGAACGUAUUCCACGGAAACGUUUGAAGAAGCUGGAACAGGUUCUUGAAUCGCAUAUGAUGGAGAGAACCGAAAAGAAAGAAGAAAGUCCACAAGAGCAUGGAGGAGAAAUGCUAGCAGAGGAAACAAUCGAACAGGAUCACGAGGAAACAACAACUGAACAAGAUCAGGAGAACAAGGUUCCGGAGCUUUUCUCUGAUAAACCAUCAAGCACAGUGAUAGUCGUCGAGGAGGAGAAAGGACAAGACGAGACUGGAGAAGCAGCGCCGCUGAUCGAACUCGAUGAAGACACUUUUCAGCGUAAAGUUUUGGAGGCUGCUGAACUUAGUGCGAAGUACAGAGAUCUGGACAUGACGAUCAGCGUAGAGGGUGAUGCAAAAAAAGCAGAUCCUUUGGCUUCAGUAAGCUGUGCGAGGUGCUACGGGCUGAGCGGAUGGCAAUGGCGGGAAUGGCCUGGUAAGGCAAGACAUCCUACCAAAACAGCUGCUGUUCAACAACAUCAUCAUCCACAACCACAACAGCUCCGCCACCAUCAACAUGAGAAUAGAAAGACAGCAGCAUCCUCUCAAGUCCAACGGAGCAGAAGAAACAGAGUGGAAAACCGAUUGCUGGGAACACAUUUUAAGGCCCGCACGAAGAGUUUGAAGUUUCAGCGCAGCAAGAUACAUUCCUGGGGCGUCAUUGCGCUUCAGUCUAUAGAGCCUGAAGAUUUUGUCAUCGAGUACAUUGGCGAGCUGGUUCGUUCGAAAGUGGCGGACUUGCGUGAGCGUCGAUACGAAAAGAUGGGAAUCGAUAGCAGUUACUUGUUUAGAGUAGACGCGGAGAACGUCGUGGAUGCGACCAAACACGGGGGCCUCGCGAGAUUUAUCAAUCACUCUUGUGACCCGAAUUGCUACACGAAGAUUCUAACUGUCGAAGGACAGAAGAGAAUUUUCAUUUAUUCCAAGAAGCAUAUUAAGGUUGGAGAGGAGCUCACGUACGACUACAAGUUCCCGUUCGAGGAACAAAAGAUUCCAUGCCUUUGUGGCGCUGAAAGGUGUCGGCUUUAUCUUAACUAAGCGCUCCCGUGCUUGUCUGGCGAUAGCUUGUUCUAUUGCAGCUCCAGACUCCUCAGGUACAUGGAUUAAAGGAUUUGCCAAAACAUCUAGGCUUAGUCUGGAAGUGCGGCCCCAAAAAGUCGUUCCAAAGGACCGAUUUGGUUCCAGGCGUAAAACAGAAAAGCAUCCAUCUCCUUUAGAGGCGCUUGUUUUAUAUAUGGAUAAAAGUUCCAUGUUGAAGAACAUUCGAAAGGCCUGAAAAUUCUAUUUUAUUUCCCCAUUAGCAAUUGCUUACAAAAUUAAUAAUGCCAAAGCUUUUAUUACUAGAAGCUUUUUUAUUGCAAAGCUUUAGAGAAAAUUUAAUAUAAUAAACCUCUAAACUCUU